rnacentral:rRNA from 1 species
UACGUAGGGUGCAAGCGUUGUCCGGAAUCAUUGGGCGUAAAGAGCGUGUAGGCGGCUUGGUAAGUCCGCUGUGAAAGUCCAGGGCUCAACCCUGGAAAGCCGGUGGAAACUGUCAAGCUUGAGUCCGGAAGAGGCGAGUGGAAUUCCUGGUGUAGCGGUGAAAUGCGCAGAUAUCAGGAGGAACACCUGUGGCGAAAGCGGCUCACUGGACCACAACUGACGCUGAGGCGCGAAAGCUAGGGGAGCAAACAGG